AGUGAACGCUGGCGGUAGGCCUAACACAUGCAAGUCGAACGGCAGCACAGUAAGAGCUUGCUCUUACGGGUGGCGAGUGGCGGACGGGUGAGGAAUACAUCGGAAUCUACUUUUUCGUGGGGGAUAACGUAGGGAAACUUACGCUAAUACCGCAUACGACCUACGGGUGAAAGCAGGGGCUCUUCGGACCUUGCGCGAUUGAAUGAGCCGAUGUCGGAUUAGCUAGUUGGCGGGGUAAAGGCCCACCAAGGCGACGAUCCGUAGCUGGUCUGAGAGGAUGAUCAGCCACACUGGAACUGAGACACGGUCCAGACUCCUACGGGAGGCAGCAGUGGGGAAUAUUGGACAAUGGGCGCAAGCCUGAUCCAGCCAUACCGCGUGGGUGAAGAAGGCCUUCGGGUUGUAAAGCCCUUUUAUUGGGAAAGAAAAGCAGCAGGUUAAUACCCCGCUGUUCUGACGGUACCCAAAGAAUAAGCACCGGCUAACUUCGUG
rnacentral:rRNA from 1 species